rnacentral:rRNA from 1 species
GAUGAACGCUGGCGGCGUGCCUAAUACAUGCAAGUCGAGCGAACGGACGAGAAGCUUGCUUCUCUGAUGUUAGCGGCGGACGGGUGAGUAACACGUGGAUAACCUACCUAUAAGACUGGGAUAACUUCGGGAAACCGGAGCUAAUACCGGAUAAUAUUUUGAACCGCAUGGUUCAAAAGUGAAAGACGGUCUUGCUGUCACUUAUAGAUGGAUCCGCGCUGCAUUAGCUAGUUGGUAAGGUAACGGCUUACCAAGGCAACGAUGCAUAGCCGACCUGAGAGGGUGAUCGCCCACACUGGAACUGAAACACGGUCCAGACUCCUACGGGAGGCAGCAGUAGGGAAUCUUCCGCAAUGGGCGAAGGCCUGACGGAGCAACGCCGCGUGAGUGAUGAAGGUCUUCGGAUCGUAAAACUCUGUUAUUAGGGAAGAACAUAUGUGUAAGUAACUGUGCACAUCUUGACGGUACCUAAUCAGAAAGCCACGGCUAACUACGUG